rnacentral:tRNA from 1 species
CCCAGGAGUUCAACCGGCAGAGUCCGCCUGAGGCGGAUUAACCACUAUGUUGCGAGUUCGAGUCUCGCCCCUGGAGCCA